rnacentral:misc_RNA from 1 species
GAUGAAGAACGCAGCGAAAUGCGAUAAGUAAUGUGAAUUGCAGAAUUCAGUGAAUCAUCGAAUCUUUGAACGCACAUUGCGCCCGCCAGUAUUCUGGCGGGCAUGCCUGUUCGAGCGUCAUUACAACCCUCAGGCCCCCGGGCCUGGCGUUGGGGAUCGGCGGAAGCCCCCUGCGGGCACAACGCCGUCCCCCAAAUACAGUGGCGGUCCCGCCGCAGCUUCCAUUGCGUAGUAGCUAACACCUCGCAACUGGAGAGCGGCGCGGCCACGCCGUAAAACACCCAACUUCUGAAUGUUGACCUCGAAUCAGGUAGGAAUACCCGCUGAACUUAAGCACAUCAAUAAGCGGAGGA